AUUAGAUAACACAAUCCUUCUGUUGGGCCAUAACCUCAUAACGAGGCCCACAUAGUUUCUACACCAAAGCAGCCCAUACAAAUUUGUUGACUUUCUUCUCCUCCUUUGUCGAUUCUCUUCACGACGUCUUUCUCCGGCAACGCCUUCGUCUUCCUAUCUUUAUCUUCAUCGUCUAAUUGAUUCUUCUUUUCUUCCCCUACUGCUCUUGGGUGGUGGGGGUUACGCCAUCCGAAAUGUUGCCGUGCUACGGGGCACUUUCCUCCGUUCAUUAUAUGCUGCUAUAGCUUUGCACUGAAAUUUCCUUGGUCUCUGUACCAAGGACCCUGGUCCAAGGUUAGCUCUUUGUGACAAGCUGCCACAAUUUCUUCCGAGAAGCUGUUGAACCGGAUACGAAGGGCAAGGAUGGACUGAAAGGAGUUAUGGAGCGUGGCAAAGGUUGUGAGGUUACAGGAGUAAACCCAGUGGAAAUGGAGGAAGCAAGUGUGAAAAUGGAAGAGGAAGGAACAAACAAGGGUGCCAUAAAAGUUUAAACAAGGGUGUUUUCUGAUAUUGUUCACAACGAUAAGCAGUUACAUGUCAAGCUUUCUACAUUGAUUUCUGGAGUAAGUAACAACAGAAAGAAUACUCCUUAUAGGCCACCCCACUUGUGGCAAGAGGGAUGAUUUGAACACUAAGCAGCAAGUGUCUUGUGACCAUGAUUCUGGUAGUUUUGAUGUUAUAUCAUCAGAUUCUGAAUUCAGUGACAGUGGCUGUUCCGCACGGGAUUCUUAUUGUGCCCAAAGCUCGAAGGUUAGAAUAGCUGCUAUUGUUUGCAUACAGGAUCUUUGCCAGGCUGAUUCAAACUCAUUUACCCCUCAGUGGAUGACUCUCUUUCCAACCAGUGAUGUACUCAAGCCAAGGAAAUUUGAAGUUACUCUAGUGAUCUGAUUGCUUUUUGAUCCUCAUUUGAAGAAAAGGAUUGCAUCUGCUUCAGCUAUUUUCCUUCAAGUGGCUGAGUACAAGGAAUCCACCAAAUAAGGGUCUUUUAUGCCCCUCUCCAAUUCCCUUGGUCUAAUACUGAUGCUACUCCACACACUAUGGUCCAACAGAAGAAAAUGAGUCUUGGCAGAAAAAGUUGUGGGAGGAGAACAAUAACAAAGAUCCGUUCCCCAAUGCUAAAUUCCACGUAGAUACUCUGUGGAUGUAUAACUUCAGCGGCUCAGAGGAAGAGUUUGCCUUGGUGUCGUGUUUCAUAAGGCAAGGGACCGUGGUAGAAAAGUUGAUGAUCAAGACGUCAUCCUUUCCUGCAAGGAAGAAGUUAAAGAUAGAAGCUGCAGUGGCCAAGCUACAUGCACUUCAAACGAAGCUUACCAUCGAAUGUUUCUAAGCGAAUUUAAUUGGUUCUUAAGUUGAAAUCUUUUCAAUCUAAAUUUAAUUAAGUGGUCUACGGUUUAUAAUAUAUUAGCUACGAACGUCUAAAUAUUUUU